rnacentral:lncRNA from 1 species
UAGUAAGCAAGACUUUCUACGCAACGAUUUCUUCUUCUCUUAUGAUUUAUCAAGUUACAGGAGGGAGUCCAAAAAAAGGAGAGUAGAUUGGCUGGUUUUUCCAGUCAAGUAUAAUUGAUAAUCCCAUUUUCUAAUAUGAAUUUGAAUAGAUUCUCUUUAUUAUUAUUAUAAAUAUAGCUUUUUUAUCUUCCACCUUAUCUCCACAGCUUUGGGCGACCCCUUCCCCUUCCUCUUUUUUUUCGUUUCAAGCAUGGACCUUAACUUAGCG